GAAUCUUAGACAAUGGGGGAAACCCUGAUCUAGCCAUGCCGCGUGAGUGACGAAGGCCCUAGGGUCGUAAAGCUCUUUCAGCUGUGAAGAUAAUGACGGUAGCCGCAGAAGAAACCCCGGCCAACUCCGUGCCAGCAGCCGCGGUAAUACGGAGGGGGUUAGCGUUGUUCGGAAUUACUGGGCGUAAGGCGCACGUAGGCGGACCAUUAAGUCAGAGGUGAAAUCCCAGGGCUCAACCCUGGAACUGCCUUUGAUACUGGCGGUCUUGAGUCCGAGAGAGGUGAGUGGAAUUCGGAGUGUAGAGGUGAAAUUCGUAGAUAUUCGGAGGAACACAAGUGGCGAAGGCGGCUCACUGGCUCGAUACUGACGCUGAGGUGCGAAAGUGUGGGGAGCAAACAGG
rnacentral:rRNA from 1 species